rnacentral:rRNA from 1 species
AUUGAACGCUGGCGGCAUGCUUUACACAUGCAAGUCGAACGGUAGAGGGGGCAACCCCUUGAGAGUGGCGAACGGGUGAGUAAUGCAUCGGAACGUGCCCAGUCGUGGGGGAUAACGCAGCGAAAGCUGUGCUAAUACCGCAUACGAUCUCUGGAUGAAAGCGGGGGACCGAAAGGCCUCGCGCGAUUGGAGCGGCCGAUGUCAGAUUCGGUAGUUGGUGGGGUAAAGGCACACCAAGCCAACGAUCUGUAGCUGGUCUGAGAGGACGACUAGCCACGCGCGGACUGAGACAGGGCCCAGACGCCAACGGAAGGCAGCAUGGGGGAAUUAUGGACAAUGGGCGCGAGCCUGAUCCAGCAAUGCCUCGUGCGGGAAGAUGGCCUUCGGGUUGUAAACUGCUGUUGUACGGAACGAAAAGGUCUGGGUUACUACCCUGGGCACAUGACGGUACCGUAAGAAUAAGCACCGGCUAACUACGUGCCAGCAGCCGCCGUAA